AUUGAACGCUGGCGGCAUGCCUUACACAUGCAAGUCGAACGGUAACAGGUCUUCGGAUGCUGACGAGUGGCGAACGGGUGAGUAAUACAUCGGAACGUGCCCGAUCGUGGGGGAUAACGGAGCGAAAGCUUUGCUAAUACCGCAUGCGAUCUACGGAUGAAGGCAGGGGACCGCAAGGCCUUGCGCGGAGGGAGCGGCUGAUGACAGAUUAGGUAGUUGGUGGGAUAAAAGCUUACCAAGCCGACGAUCUGUAGCUGGUCUGAGAGGACGACCAGCCACACUGGGACUGAGACACGGCCCAGACUCCUACGGGAGGCAGCAGUGGGGAAUUUUGGACAAUGGGCGAAAGCCUGAUCCAGCCAUGCCGCGUGCAGGAUGAAGGCCUUCGGGUUGUAAACUGCUUUUGUACGGAACGAAAAGACUCCUUCUAAUAAAGGGGGUCCAUGACGGUACCGUAAGAAUAAGCACCGGCUAACUACGUGCCAGCCGCCGCCGUAAAAC
rnacentral:rRNA from 1 species